ACUUCAUUUGAAAUUCCCGUUCCCUCUCUUUAGUUUCACUUCAUUUGAAAUUCACCUAUCCUCUCACCCACCCCCGCGUUGCUCAUCCUCUCCCCCAACCUCCCGUGUUGCCCAUCCUCUCCCCCACUCCCACCCCCUGCAUUGCCUAUGGAUGAUGACCCGGUGACCUCCAUGUCUUUUUCUCUGAUCUCAGUUCAAAUUAGUUAAAAGUGCAGCCAAAGUGUACAGACUCUAAAAAAUGACUACAUAGUAUGAACUGUACAGUCAAGACUCAGCGCUAUCGCUCUGUUUCUGGCCGUCUUUCUUGAGUCCAUGUGUCCCCCGGUUUCCAAGCUGUAGCGUCUCUUUCGUCCUUUCGAAACCCAACUGGCUCCACCGUGUCUUGGCCAUGGCCAUUAAGCGCAACCCUAAGCGUCUCAAAGGCUUUGCUCCUCGCUUCACCAAGGUCCCAUUCUCGCCCUAUUGUCAUCUCUCCCCUUACGUAGACCGCACAUGCUUGAUUUGAUUUUUGGUAAUUAGUGUUUCCAUACAAAAGACUUGUUUGGUUGUUUAGAAAAUGGCAUUAGAGAGAGGAUAAGACAUUAUAUACGAUCGUUGUAGUUUUGAUAAAAAUGAUAAGUAGGAGGCCAGGCUUGAUGAAAUUUGGAAAGAAAAAAGACCAGGUCCUUUACUCAUUUUGACAUUUUCUUCAAUCAGUAAUAAAUGCCACCAGUUGUCAAAGAAAAUAAAUCAUUGUGAUGAUCACUUGUUCAUCAGUUUUAUUCCCGAAAGGAUUUUUUUUCUCAAAAAAAAAAAGAAAAAGAAAUGGGACGGUUGAUUGACAAGCAUAGUGAACAAAGCUCUCAUGGCAAGAGAGAACAGAUUUAAUAUUACCUUAAUUGGCAUGAAAGCAUCAGGAGGAUGUCUUGCUUUAUUUUGAAGCUGAUUCAUCAGGAGCAGACAACUGGAAAUUGGAACCAGUUGUCAAUCUUUUGAAACAAGGAGCGGUUGGGGUCAUUCCUACAGACACUGUGUAUGCAAUUGUUUGUGAUUUGAAAAGCAAUUCAACGAUUGAAGUAUAUGCUAGAUGAGGAGAAGUGAGGAGAUGUGAAUUUUUCGUUUGGGCGAAAUACUUCACUUGCUAGAGGAAAACAUUCGUAUAAGAGAGAAUAAAUUAUGGAAGAUGUGGGAUGACAUAUUGCUACGUGAGAAUGAAGUUAGUAAAAAGGAAGAUAAAGUACAAGAGAGAGAGAACUCUUCAGAAGAAAAAGAAAAAAUUAGUGUUUAUACUGGAUUGUCAUAUUUGUAAUAAUUUUGGCUUGAUUCGGAUAAUUUUUUUUUUAUAUAUAAGUAAUGAUUCGGAUAAAUUGUAUAUAAAUAGCACGUUGUAUGAAAUACAUCUUUUUCUUAUGGAUCAACUGUAAUGGUAUGUUUUGUAUUGCACUGAGAAAGCAAUCAUCUUGUAUAUAUAACAAAAUCAAAGUUGUGCA